UAGUUACAGGCUUAACACAUGCAAGUCGAGGGGCAGCAUGGUCUUAGCUUGCUAAGGCCGAUGGCGACCGGCGCACGGGUGAGUAACACGUAUCCAACCUGCCGUCUACUCUUGGACAGCCUUCUGAAAGGAAGAUUAAUACAAGAUGGCAUCAUGAGUCCGCAUGUUCACAUGAUUAAAGGUAUUCCGGUAGACGAUGGGGAUGCGUUCCAUUAGAUAGUAGGCGGGGUAACGGCCCACCUAGUCUUCGAUGGAUAGGGGUUCUGAGAGGAAGGUCCCCCACAUUGGAACUGAGACACGGUCCAAACUCCUACGGGAGGCAGCAGUGAGGAAUAUUGGUCAAUGGGCGAGAGCCUGAACCAGCCAAGUAGCGUGAAGGAUGACUGCCCUAUGGGUUGUAAACUUCUUUUAUAAAGGAAUAAAGUCGGGUAUGGAUACCCGUUUGCAUGUACUUUAUGAAUAAGGAUCGGCUAACUCCGUGCCAGCAGCCGCGGUAAUACGGAGGAUCCGAGCGUUAUCCGGAUUUAUUGGGUUUAAAGGGAGCGUAGAUGGAUAUUUAAGUCAGUUGUGAAAGUUUGCGGCUCAACCGUAAAAUUGCAGUUGAUACUGGAUAUCUUGAGUGCAGUUGAGGCAGGCGGAAUUCGUGGUGUAGCGGUGAAAUGCUUAGAUAUCACGAAGAACUCCGAUUGCGAAGGCAGCCUGCUAAGCUGCAACUGACAUUGAGGCUCGAAAGUGUGGGUAUCAAACAGG
rnacentral:rRNA from 1 species